rnacentral:ncRNA from 2 species
AAUGUCACAGAGGAGUGCUUUGGCUGAGAUCGCAUGUGCGAAAUCCUAACAACCUGAUCUUGUUAAUACAAGCGUAGGGAUUGUGAACUUGAAUUCU